GCAAAGAUACUGGAGGGAUUUGCCAUUUUUUUUCUCUAGCUCAUUUUACAGAUGAGGAGACUGAGGCAAACAGGGUGAAGUGACUUGCCCAGGGUCACCCAGCUAAGAUACUGGAGUGAUUGGCCAUUUCCUUCUCCAGCUCAUUUUACAGAUGAGAAAACUGAGGCUAGCAGGAUGAAGUGACUUCUCCGGGGGCACCCAGCUAGUAAGUGUCUGAGGCCAGAUCUGAACUCAGGAAGUCUAGUCUUCCUGUGCCCCUGACCUGGCACUCUCUUCCCUGCACCACCUUGGGCGUUUGGAGGGCAGGGCAACAAGUCAUUCUGCUGUAAUGUAGUGCCCUGCAUUUAAGAAAUGUUUGUGGACCAAUUUGUUCUUGGUCGUCUAAGCAGUAACGGCAGUUAAGUGAUGACUCUAGGCAAGGCACUCUGCCAGGAAGAGAUGCUAGAAAGGCCUGCCCUCAAGGAGCUUACAUCCUCCUAGGGGAGGGACUACACUAUAGACUUCAGAAAUAAAGAACUAUUUGGUCAUUUGAGGAAGGCAAGAAAGAGUAUUAAUAACUAGAGGGAAACAGAGCCAGUUUCACAUAGGAAAUGGCUGCACAUGUCAGCACCCAAAAUGAGCCUUUAAAUUAUGUGGUUUUGAGAGUUUGGCGUGAAGGAGGUGUGCCUUCUCAGCCUGGGGCACUGCUUGGGCAAAUGCACCAAUGGACAGAUCUCUUCUGAAAUUCAAUGGACUGGGGGCCUCGGCUGCUUCCAAGGGGCUGUAUUUUUCACAUUUUAAUCAUUCUCUAUCCCAGAGAGAUGAUCUCUAUCAGAGGCUGCAGCGGCCAACACUUCCCCUUCCUCACUUAUCAGUUUCUUCCACUGUCAAUAUCCCAGUAGCAUGAUAUUAAAUUAUUUAGUGUUUACUCUAAUUGGAUAUAUUUUAAGUACGCACCUUUAUUUUAAAAACAACUAUAAUUAGCCUUUGUUUUGACAUCAUCUUCAUUUCCAAAGAUACCAUUCCCUUCUCCUUUUCUUUGAACAGCUAGGUGGUUCAGUGGAUUGAACGCUGGCUCUGGAGUCUGGAAGGCUCAACUCUCUGAGUUCAAAUUCAGUCUCAGACACUUAAUAUCUGCAUGACUCUGAGAAAGUCAUUUUACCCUGUUUGCCUCAAUUUCCUCAUCUGUAAAAUGAACUGGAGAAGGAAAUAGCAAACUGCCAUACUUGUUGUGUGAUCCUGAGCAAGUCCCUUUACUCUGUUUGCCUCCUUUCCUCAUCUGUAAAAAGAGCUGGAGAAAGAAACAGCAAACCACUCCAAUAUCUGCCAAGAGAACCCCAGAUGGGAUCAUAAAGAGUCAGAAACAUUUGAAUAACAAGAAGUCCUUCUCUUAAGCCAGAGAAUUAUUCCUUGUCCCAGUGAAUAACAAUAAAAAAU
rnacentral:lncRNA from 1 species